UACGUAGGGACCGAGCGUUGCCCGGAAUCAUUGGGCGUAAAGAGCGUGUAGGCGGCCUUUUAAGUCCUGCGUGAAAUCCUGCGGCUCAACCGCAGACGGUCGUGGGAAACUGGAAGGCUAGAGUGCGGGAGAGGAGAGUGGAAUUCCCGGUGUAGCGGUGAAAUGCGCAGAUAUCGGGAAGAACACCCGUGGCGAAGGCGGCUCUCUGGAACGCAACUGACGCUGAGACGCGAAAGCGUGGGGAGCAAACAGG
rnacentral:rRNA from 1 species